GGGUGGGGACGACCGGUGGGCAGUAGGGACCGCAGCCCUGCACGGCGGCAAGGAGGACMAGGUUCAGRGCGAGGAAGAGGGCGAGCUUGGAGGGCGCCAUUGCUACUGAUCGUUUGUGCUGGUAUGUGGCUAAUUAAGCUUGUAGGGUAUGCUAGCUUGGGAUGGUUUUCUUGGGUUGUUUGGGGGUGGUACUUAUAGACCGGGUGUGGUGUGCAAGUGCCUUCAUGUCAUCAUCAAUCGAG
rnacentral:lncRNA from 1 species